rnacentral:rRNA from 1 species
AGGACGAACGCUGGCGGCGUGCCUAACACAUGCAAGUCGAGCGGAAAGGCCCUUCGGGGUACUCGAGCGGCGAACGGGUGAGUAACACGUGAGUAAUCUGCCCCUAGCUCUGGGAUAGCUCCGGGAAAACCGGGAUUAAUACCAGAUACGACCACUUUAGACAUCUGUUGUGGUGGAAAGAAUUUUGGCUAGGGAUGAGCUCGCGGCCUAUCAGCUUGUUGGUGAGGUAACGGCUCACCAAGGCGACGACGGGUAGCCGGCCUGAGAGGGCGACCGGCCACACUGGGACUGAGACACGGCCCAGACUCCUACGGGAGGCAGCAGUGGGGAAUAUUGCGCAAUGGGCGAAAGCCUGACGCAGCGACGCCGCGUGGGGGAUGAAGGCCUUCGGGUUGUAAACCCUUUCAGCAGGGACGAAGCGAAAGUGACGGUACCUGCAGAAGAAGCGCCGGCUAACUACGCGCCAGCAGCCGC